UACGAAGGGGGCUAGCGUUGUCCGGAAUCCACUGGGCGUAAAGGGCGCGUAGGUGGUCUGAUAAGGGUGUGGUGAAAGCCCGGGCUCAACCCCGGGUCGGCCGUGCCGACUGUUAGACUAGAGUGCUGUAGGGGCAGGCGGGAAUUCCGGGUGUAGCGGUGGAUGCGUAGAGAUCCGGAGGAAGACCGGUGGCGAGGCGGCCUGCUGGCAGUUACUGACACUGUGGCGCGCAGCGUGGGGAGCAAACAGACUUAGAA
rnacentral:rRNA from 1 species